GGCUCCGGCCCCCCAGCACAGCCGUGACCCUGAUGAGGAACCCGAGACCCAACUGCAGGCCCUGCAGCGGCUGGUACUUGGCUGUCCUACCCCAUCCGCUACGGUGCAGACGAACGGACUUUCUGUCUCUAUGAAGUUGCCUCUUCUGGACACUCGAAAUGAACUGAAUCAUACUGCAUGUGCCCUUCAGUGUCCUGCUCAUGUCGCUUGGCUGAUAUCCUCAAGAUUCGUCCACAGCGCAGCGUAUGUCAGAACUUCGUUUGUUUUACGGCUAGAAUAUAUUCCGUUGUAUGGCUGUGUUCCGUUGUCUUUACCCACUCAUCUGCCGAUGGACUUUGGGGCUGUUUUCCGCCUUUUGGCUAUUGUGACUAGUCCUGCUGUGAACAUCCAUGAGCCAGUUUUUGUUUGAACACUUGUCUUCAAUUCUCUGGGUGUAUCCCUGGGAGUGGGCCUGCUGGGUCACGUGUUCUGUGUAACAUACU